rnacentral:lncRNA from 1 species
AUUUUAAACCAAGUGAACUUUUAUAGCUUUCAAAUAUAAAAGGUGAUUUUGAUAUACUUAAAAAUAUUUUAGACUGCUAAGUAAGUGCUCUCUUUUGUUGCACAUGUGUUUCAUUGCAUCUUAGUUUUAUAUAAAAGAAAACGUUCUUGAAUAUGCUGUCAAUCACUAUAAUACUUCGAACAGAGAUUCUAGAAUAGGAGUCCAGGCUGUAACUGGGUUCAGGAUUUAUUCGAUGAUGCCCUCUGCAAAGAGAGGUCUCUCUUUAUACUACUGAAGUUAGAAGAUUUUUAUCUAAAGCAUUUUAUCUUCUUUUUUUUUCUUUCUUUUUCAUUGAGCUGAGGGGUGAUUACUGUUGCUUUUGUGAAGUAGCUGUCCUUUGUUCCAUGACUUUUUAACAUUUCUUAGCUCAAAUUCAAUCUUCCUUCAGAAUCCUUUCUUAUCAUUUCUUUCCCACCAUUCCUACCAGAUAGUGUGUGUGGGUUUGGUUUUUUUUUUUUCCCCCCAU